GUCUACGUAGCUUAAAUCAAAGCGUAGCACUGAAGAUGCUAAGAUGAGGCCCCAUAGGCCUCCGAAGACA
rnacentral:tRNA from 1 species